ACAAACAGACACACGCUGCUCCGCGCUCGGCCCGUGCCGUCUCCUGGGGCUUUGGAGAAUCAAAAGAGCCUCACAGUGACUUUUCAAAGGCCACCAGGAUGUGGUAAGCCACCAGGAGAGGACACACAGCCUUUUUGGAAGGAGCUCGCUGCUUGAAGCUUAAUAAAAGUGAAGCCACCUGACCACGUCCUCGCUCCACCACCCUCUGGGCACAGCUGAGUCUUCCCGUGCCAGCAGACAGUUUAUCCAAGUGACACAAAUGCGGUCACAGGAGCUUUCCACCAGCAAACAGCAUCUGGGAGGCGAGGAGGGAUGAUUUACACUCGUGCAGUGAGGCAAAGAUCCCAGGCAAUGGAGAACAUGGAAGUUUUCCUCCCCGGAAGGAAGGUCCUGCCUGGCCCUUCACAGGAGUCAGGACCUCCAACACCAUCACAGGAUGCAGCAUCUGUCACCUACAUUUGCAGAGAAGAUGUUGGAGGAACCUGCCAGGAGCAACUGGUUUGAAAAAGCUCUG